AAAGCAUAGUAAAGAUGAUCUUGAUCUUUCUAGUGCAAUGUGCGUGGCACACUAUUUUGUUAGCAGUGGCGGAGCAAUAGCUGUUAAAUGAUUGACAAAAACAAUUGAUUUUUGGUUUUGUGUAGUGCUUGGACUUUAUAUUACAAAUGUUUCUAUACCUUUUUCGCCCCGGAUUUCAACAAAACCAAAGCACCCCAUCAGAGGAUCCGUGACUAUUGAAUCGAGUUUUCAACGGUUGCAGAUUUCGGUCUUGCUUAGUUUUCUCAUGAUGUUAAUACUCAUGUACACGAGUGACGGGGACUUUUUGGAUAUGCAUCUAGUGGAAAACUCAGACAAUUCAGAUGUUUUCUCCUAUGGAAUCAUGCUUCUUUAGUUAUAACUCGACGGCGCCCAGUAGAUAAAACUCAAACAUUAAAGACUGGAAGAAAGCACGGCCAAAGAAUAUCUUUACCUUCACCCAAAAGAAAUGUUAGGUUUAUAGAGAAGGAGGUUUCACUGGGGAGAUACAACACCAAUAAGACCUGAGUCCAAUCACAUAAGGUAUUGACAUCACUCUCAACCCAAAACCUUAAGGCAAUGAAUUUAUGGGUCUUUAUCCUUAUAUAGUGCUCUACUUUCUCAUUUCUAGCCAAUGUGGGACUUAUCCUCACACUUGGAUUCUCUUAAUUGUGAGAAUAGAAGUCCCACAUCAAUGGGAACUUUACUUUGGGGCUUACUUUUAAUGUUAUAAAAGGAGCCCAGUGUUUCCUUAGGAAAUCAUCCCAAAGUCUCUCCCUUACUAUUCCUUUUGUUUUAUUUUCUUGAGAGAAGAAUUAAGAGAGAAUGUUAGUUUCUCCUUACAGUUCUCCUUGUAUUAGUUUUUCCUAUUUCCAAGAGAGGGGGGUGUCAUUGUUUUCUCCUUGGGAUUAGAGAGAAUGGUAUGCAAUUUUUCCUUUCCUUGAAUAAAUUAUAUUUGUUGCCUAUUAUCUGUUUUUGUGUUCCUUUAUUUUUAUCUUUUAUUUUAGUUGAGUACUUGUGCUAGUACUCUGAUACCCAACAGUGGUAUCAGAGCUGUUGGUUCGUGUGAUUAUAUUCCACUGCUAUUGUCAUUAGAAUAGUGUUGUGAUAGUCGAUAAAGUGUGGUAGUGUGAAAGUGCAUGUCUAGGAAAAUUCUGGCUAGGAAAGAAUUGGUACUUAAGUGUGUCUAUUAGUGACCCAUCUCUCUUUCCUGGAAAUUACUUGGUGCACUGGUUCACAAUCUGCCUGCAUUGUUCCAGUAGACAGUAUUGUUCAUAGUGAGAAGUGCAUAAGUCGGUUUUAAAGCCAUGACAACAAGAUACGAGAUAGAGAAGUUUAAUGCGAAAAAUUUCUCAUUGUGGAACCUGAAGAUGAAGGCAAUUUUGAGAAAGGACAAUUGUCUAGCGACAAUUGAAGAAAAAUCUAUGGGCAUUACAGAUCAAAAGUGGAAGGAAAAUGAUAAUAAUGCUAUAGCAAAUUUGCACUUAGCAUUGGCAGAUACGGUUUUAUCCAGCAUUGCGGAGAAGACUACAACAAAGGAGAUUUGGGAUACUCUCACAAGCUUGUACGAUGUUAAGUCACUUCACACAAGAAUAUUCUUGAAGAGAAAACUCUAUACUCUUCGAAUGAGUGAGUCUACAUCGGUAUCGGUGACAAACCACAUCAAAAAUCUAAAUACAUUGUUUGCCCAACUUUUAGCAACAGAUUUCAACAUAAUUGAAAAUGAACGUGCGAAGCUUCUACUAUAGAGUUUACUUUAUUCGUAUGAUCAGCUCGUCAUCAACAUUACAAAUUACAACGUUGUUGACCUCCUACACUUUGAGGAUGUUGCCGGAGUUGUUCUUGAAGAAGACUCCAAGCGAAAGAACAAAGAGGAUAUGGUGGAAAAUGCAAAGCAAGCAGAGGCUUUGACAAUGACGAGAGAAAGAUAAAAAAAACAUGGAUCUAGUGGGAGUCGAUCUCAUGAUAGAUGUCAAAGUAAGAAGCAUCUCAAAUGCUACCAUUGCGGCAAAAGAGGGCAUGUGAAGAAAGAUUGUUGGCAUUUGAAGAAUGGAGGAAAGAACUCUGAGGCAUCAACCUCACAAGGUUGUACGGCAAGUACCUCGGAGGACGAAGAUAUUUUGUGAAGAAGAGGAGAGAUUUGGUAAGUCAUGAAAGCUUAGAAGAUCAUGGUAGAUGUGUAUGUGCUUUUGGGAGAUACGUUGCAGGAUGCUAAUGCAAUGAUUGCAUCGACGAGUCAAGAAUAAGCAAUGUUGACGUGACAUCGUAAACUUGGGUAUAAGUCAGAGCGAAGUUUGCAAAUCCAAACAGAACGUAAUCUCUUACUCGGGCUCAAGAAGGUUGUUUUACCUUUACGCGAGCAUUGUGUGGUAAGUCAACAAACAUAGUCAUAGAUCGCAGAUUGCUAGUUUGACUACCAAGAAAAAGGAAAACACAAGAAGACUUGGUUUAUUCUGAUGUAAGGGAAUUACCGAAGUUAUCACUAGGAGAAUCAAAGUUUACUCUAGGAGAUUGUGGGUGUACUACGUCAAUAGGAAGUCAAAUGUGUUAUUACCAGUUCAAGGAAUUCAAAGCACGAGUAGAUCUUGAAACUAGGAAAAAUUAAGUGCUUGGGCUAUGCUAACAAUGUAAAGGGUACCACCUGUAGGUCCCACUACCCACAAGGUUAUUUUUAAGCAGAAAUGAAAUGAUGCUCCAACCAGAAGGCAUUAAAGAGCAAGAAAACUUGGUUUGCAUGGUUGAACAAAUCUUAGUACAGUUUAAAGAGAGUGCUCAGGAGUUCGUACAAGAAGACUCCAAACAAAGUUCAAAUCCAGGAAUUGAAGGCACAAUUGGCUAGGAAGUAUGAGAAGAAGGACUUGGAACCAAUAAACAAGGAUUUCAAGGAUGCAAAUUCACUGAGACAAAAAAGAUAGGAAGGUUUGGCUUUCUCAAAAGAAAUACUUACUGAUAAUCUUGCAGCGCUUCAACAUGCAAGAUUGCAAGCCAAUUUCUACCCUAUUUUCUAUUAGUUGUUGCUCAUGUAUGAGUCUUAACAAUGAAGCAAAAAGGAUGGAGAAGUCCUGAGUACCGAGUGCACACGUGCAUCCUUGGUGGACAACCUUAUGAAUGCUAUGAUGUGUACAAGACCAAACAUUGCACAAGCAGUGGGAGUGGUUAAUAGGUUCAUAGCAGGUUUGGUGGAGAAUAAUGAAGUAUUUACAAGACGUCCUUGGAAGGAACCUCAAGUGUUGCAUUGCGUUUCGGAGGAUCAGAAUUAUGUGUCAAUGAAGUCUAUGUGGAUUCGAUCCUACUGAAGUCUAUCAGAAGAACAAGCAACAUGAAGGCGGAGAAUAAAGCAUGGUGUGAAGAUUUGAUUAAUUUCAUCAAAAUCUUCAAGUGGGAGAUUGUGAUAAUAGAAGUCCUACAUCAAUAGGAACUUACUUUGGGUCUUACUUUUAAUGUUAUAAAAGGAGCCCAAUGUUUCCUUAAGAAAUUAUCCCAAAGUCUCUCCCUUUCUAUUCCUUUUGCUUAUUUUCUUGAGAGAAGAAUUAAGAGAGAAUAUUAGUUUCUCCUCUAAGAGAGAAUGUUAGUUUCUCCUUUAAGGUUCUCCUUGUAUUAGUUUUUCCUAUUUCCAAGAGAAGGGAGUUGUCAUUGUUUUCUCCUUGGGAUUACAGAGAAUGGUAUGCAAUUUUCCCUUUCCUUGAAUAAAUUAUAUUUGUUGUCUAUUAUCUGUUUUUGUGUUCCUUUAUUUUCAUCUUUUAUUUUAGUUGUGAGUACUUGUGCUAGUACUCUGAUACCUAACAUGAAAACCCGGGUGCAACGCUUGUUUCCCCAGUUCUUGAUGCCACCAAUAAUCAACCGUGGAUUCAUUAUGUUUCUCCUCCUACUAUCCGUCAAAGCAUAAUCUGGAUGGAUAAUGCCAACAAUAUCUGGAAUAAUUUACAGAACCGAUACUCACAAGGCGAUCUUCUUCGCAUUUCUGAACAUCAGAUGGACGUUGCUUCUUUAUGCUAUGGUGAACACACUAUUUUUGAGUAUUUUUACAAAACUCAAGGUGAUAUGGGAUGAGGUCAACAAUUUCAGACUAGAACCUGUGUGCAUGAGCAAGCCAAAAUGUGUCUGUCAAGUCUCUACCAGUCUUGAUCAAAGAAAGCAUGAAAACCGGGUUAUGCAAUUUCUCCAUGGUAUAAAUAAUCAAUAUAAUAAGGGUGUUGGGUUUUUUAAUAAACUUAAAUAUAUUAGCAGUGGUGAGUAACUAGCCAUUGUAAGAAACUAGCCAUUGUAGGUAGUAAAUGUACUAGCCGUUAAUGUCUAUGUAGUUAAUGAGUUAGCCGUUUAUAGCCGUUUUGAGCACAACGGUCAGAAAUUUUUUAGCAUGUAUUGUUGAUGGCAUGAAUAGCACAUAACAUAAGAGUUGAAUAAAGUUUUUUUCACAAGUGAUGUUUAUUGUCUACAAAGUGGUAUCAAGAGCCAGUUAGCUUGAGUAUAUGAGGGAAAAAGAGCUAGAGAGCUUGAGUGUUUGAAAAAAAGAGAGAGCUAGAGAGCUCAAGUGUUUUAGUGUUUGAAAAAAAGAGAGUGAAAUGGUUAGUUGACAAAGGCUGUCAACUAUGAAAAUUAGGGUCUAAAAAUGAAGGCUCUUCUUGGCUCCCAAGAAAAUUGGGAGGUGGUUGAAGAUGGUUUCGAUGAACCAUCCAACACUAUAGGUUGGUCAAAUGCCUAGUUGAAAGUGCUGAAAGACGCAUGUGUGAAGGACAAGACAACUUUGUACAUCUUGUACCAAGUUGUGGACGAGUCCGGCUUUGAGAAGAUUGCAAGUGCCAAAUCUUCAAAAGAAGCAUGGGACAUAUUGGAUAAGGCGUAUAAGAGAGAUGAUCGAGUGAAGUAGGUGCAACUUCAAACACUUAGAUGCGAAUUGGAGAGCAUGAAGAUGAAAGAGACAAAAGGAGUAGCUGAGUACAUAUCUCGGGUUGAAACUGUGGCAAAUCAACUUAGUAGAAACAUAGAGACAUUGUCCGCUAGCCGAAUUGUUGAAAAGAUUUUGAGGUCUCUGACAGAUGACUUUGAGAACGUGGUGUGUGCCAUUGAAGAGUCCAAAGACUUGUCAAUGCUCACGGUAGAAGAGCUUGUCGGAUCUCUCGAGGCACACGAGAAAAGAAAGAAGAAGAAGGCAGAGUCCCUUGAACAUGCACUCCAAAAAUGGUCACAAUUAAGAAGAAUGCUUUUUAUACUCAGAACACUCAAAGUAGAGGAAGAGGUCAGGGAAGUAGAGGAAACAGUCGCGGUGGCCGAGGUCGAGGCAGACAGGAAGUAGAGAGAGAAUAUAUCAGCAACCAAAAUUGGCGCGAAGAGGAUGCGGUUCAUGGAGAGGAGGUCGGUUGAGCAACUCAAAUGUUGAGUGCUACAAAUGUGGCAAGUAUGGUCACUAUGCAAAGGAUUGUAACUCGGAUAUGUGUUACAAUUGUGGUAAGGUUGGACAUUUUGCAAAAUAGUGCUGAUCUGAAAAUAAGAAGGAAGUGACAACCAAUUUUCUCAUAGAAGAUGUUGAAGAGAAAGAGGGGUUGUUGAUGAUGUCAAGAGUCGAGGAUAUGCAAUUAAACAACUCGACAGGACAACAAAGCAGUUUAACUAACUCGGUGUGGUACCUUGACACGGGUUCAAGUAACCACAUGUGCGGAGACGAGCACUUCUUCAAAGACUUAACUAAAGUAGAAGUUGGAGAUGUGUCUUUUGGAGAUGAUUCAAAGGUUACGGUAAAAGGUCGAUGAACGAUCUGGUACUUGUAGAAGGAUGGUUGAGUUGGGGAAAUUCGAGAUGUGUACUAUGUACCUGAUCUCAAAAGUAACAUUUUGAGCAUGGGACAGUUAAUGGAAAAUGGUUACCCAGUUUUAAUGAAAGAUUAAGUACUAGACUUGAAGGACAAAAUUGGACAUUUGAUUGCCCGUGUAGAGAUGAAGAAAAAUUGGAUGUAUAAGUUGGGCUUAAAGAUCAUACAAGAGAAGUGUUUGAAACUUGAUGUCCAGGAUGAGACAAUGAUGUGGCACUUUCGGUUUGGUCACUUACAUUUUGAUGGAUUGAUGGAACUGGUGAAGAAAGGUAUGGUGCAUGGACUGCCAAGCUUGGAAUUCAAAAGUAAAUUGUGUGAAGAAUGUGUACUUAGCAAACAGUCGAGAACUUCGUUUCUGAGAAAUUCCAAGUACAAAGCAAAGGAACAACUCGACCUAAUUCAUACCGAUGUGUGUGGAGCAAUUAUUCCUGAAUCUUUCAAUGGUAAGAGAUACUUUAUUUAUUUUGUAGAUGAUUUUUCAUGAAAGACAUGGGCAUACUUCUUGAAAUAAAAGUUUGAGGUGUUCAAGGUGUUCAAGAAGUUUAGAGUGAUGGUGGAGAAGGAGACGGGCAAAUACAUUAAGGUUGUUCCAUCUGAUAGGGGAGGCGAGUUAACAUAAACAGAGUUCAUGAAGUACUAUGAGGAGCACGACAUAAGAAGAUUUUUUUACAACCUCAUACUCACCACAAUUGUUAUACCACUGGCUAUAGAAAAGUUUGAAACCACUAACAAUGAAAAUGAACCCUGACGGCCCAAAAUACGAACCGUGCAAGAAUUGUAUGAGUCUACUGAACAGGUACAUGUUGUUUGUCUU